rnacentral:lncRNA from 1 species
GAUCAACAAAAUUUAGCUAGACCUACCAAGAAAAGAGACAAGAGUUGACUUACAAAAAUCAGAAAUAAAGUAUCACCUUAAAGAAUUUUUUUAAUUAUAAAGAAAAUUAUUUUUAAAAAAACCUAAAACUGAGUCAGGCAACAUAUAAAAAGGAUCAUACACCAUGACCAACUAGGACUUAUCCCAGAAAUGCAAACCUGGUUCACAUAUGAAAGCCAGUCAAUAGAAUACACCAUAUUAUUAGAAUAAGGGUAAAAAAUGUAUCAUCAUCUUAAUAGAUGACAAAAUUGAACACCCUUUCUUGAUAAAAGAAAACACUCAACAGACUAGGAAUACAGGGAAUUUCCUUAACCUCAUAAAGGGCACUUAUGAAAUCAAAAAUACUUAGAAAAAAAUUGACAAAAAAGUGCAAGAGUUGUACACAGAAACUGACAAGCUGAUGCUGAAAUUGAUGUUGAAAUUGAUAUGGAAGUGCAAAGAGCUCAGAAUAGCUAAUACAAACUCGGAAAAGAAUAAAGUUGGAGGACUCACAUUUGUUGAUUUCAAAACUUACUACAAAACUACAGUAAUCAAGACAGUGUAAUAAUGACAUAAUAAUAGACACAUAGGUCAAUGGGAUAGAAUUGAGAACCAAGAAAUAAACCCUUACAUUUAUGAUGAAUCUAUUUUCAAAAAGACUGCCAGGAUAAUUUAAUGGGGGAAAGAAUAAUCUUUUCAACAAAUGUGCUGGGAUGCCUGAAUAUCCACAUGGAAAACAAUGAAAUUGGACUCCUGCCUCACAGUAUAAACAAAAAUUAACUCAAAAUGAAUUAUAGAUGUAAAGGUAAGUGUUAAAACUAUAAAACUCUUAGAAGAAAACAUAGGUAAAAAUCUGUGUGACCUUAGAUUAGGCAAUGAUUUCUUAGAUAUGAUAGCAAAAACAAGAGCGACAAAAGAAAAAAUAGAUAAAUUUGACUUCAUCUAAGUUAAAUACUUUUUUGCUUCAAAGCCACCAUCAAGAAAGUUAAGACAACACAAAGAAUGGGAGAAAAUAUUUGAAAAUCAUGUAUCUGACAAGGAACUGGUAGCUAAAAUAUGUAAAGUAGGCCAAACGCGGUGGCUCACGCCUGUAAUCCCAGCACUUUGGGAGUCUGAGGCGGGUGGAUCACGAGAUGAGGAGAUGGAGGCCAUCCUGGCCAACAUGGUAAAACUCCGUCUCUACUAAAAAUACAAAAAUUAGCUGGCCUGAU